GUGAAGCGGGAAGAGCUCAAAUUUGUAAUCUGGCGGUCUCCGGCCGUCCGAGUUGUAGUCUGGAGAAGCGUUUUCCGCGYCGGACCGUGUACAAGUCCCUUGGAACAGGGCGUCGUAGAGGGUGAGAAUCCCGUCUUUGACACGGACUACCGRUGCUUUGUGAUGCGCUCUCRAAGAGUCGAGUUGUUUGGGAAUGCAGCUCAAAAYGGGUGGUAAAUUCCAUCUAAAGCUAAAUAUUGGCGAAAGACCGAUAGCGAACAAGUACCGUGAGGGAAAGAUGAAAAGCACUUUGGAAAGAGAGUUAAACAGUACGUGAAAUUGUUGAAAGGGAAACGMUUGAAGUCAGUCGCGUCUYCCGGGACUCAGCCUSGCUUYUGCUUGGUGCAUUUCCCGAGKSACGGGCCAGCAUCGAUUUCGACCGUAGAAGAAAGGKUGNGGGAAUGUGGCACCUUCGGGUGUGUUAUAGCCCUCNGUCGUAUGCNNCGGUUGGGAUYGAGGAUCGCAGCACGCCUUUNUGGSCCGGGGUUCGCCCACGUAACGUGCUUARGAUGCUGGCGUAAUGGCUUUAAACGACCCGUCUUGAAACACGGACCAAGGAGUCUAACAUGCCUGCGAGUGUUUGGGUGGAAAACYCGGACGCGGAAUGAAAGUGAAAAGUUGGGACCUCUGUCGUGGAGGGCACCGACGCCCGGACCAGACCUUYUGUGACGGUUCCGAGGUAGAGCAUGUAUGUUGGGACCCGAAAGAUGGUGAACUAUGCCUGAGUAGGGUGAAGCCAGAGGAAACUCUGGUGGAGGCUCGUAGCGAUUCUGACGUGCAAAUCGAUCGUCGAACUUGGG
rnacentral:rRNA from 1 species